AAUCAACGCUGGCGGCGUGCCUCAGACAUGCAAGUCGAACGAUUAAAGCUCUCUUCGGAGAGUGCAUAGAGUGGCGCACGGGUGAGUAACACGUAAGUAAUCUACCUUCGAGUGGGGAAUAACGUCCGGAAACGGACGCUAAUACCGCAUAAUGCAGCGGCAUCGUAAGAUGACAGUUGUUAAAGAUUUAUCGCUUGAAGAGGAGCUUGCGGCAGAUUAGCUAGUUGGUAAGGUAAUGGCUUACCAAGGCUACGAUCUGUAACCGGUCUUAGAGGACGGUCGGUCACACUGACACUGAAUAACGGGUCAGACUCCUACGGGAGGCAGCAGUCGGGAAUUUUGGGGCAAUGGGCGAAAGCCUGACCCAGCAACGCCGCGUGAAGGAUGAAGUAUUUCGGUAUGUAAACUUCGAAAGAAUAGGAAGAAUAAAUGACGGUACUAUUAUAAGGUCCGGCUAACUACGUGCCAGCAGCCGCGGUAAU
rnacentral:rRNA from 1 species